rfam:Bacillus okhensis strain Kh10-101 contig52, whole genome shotgun sequence.
CACCUCUUUAAAUUAGUCCUGUGAGGCUAAAAAGAGGGUCAACAUACUAUUGCACAUUUAUUGUGGAUAGGAUUUUGAACCUCUUUGUAUACAACACACAAAGAGGUUUUUGUCU